GGCUGGUCAGAGUGCAGUGGAAGUUACAGCUUAUUGAUUACAGUCAGUUACAGAUUUCUUUGUUCAUUGUCUUCAUUCUCUACUCCUACUGCUUCACUUGACUUGUCUUAA
rnacentral:Y_RNA from 1 species